GACGAACGCUGGCGGCGUGCCUAAUACAUGCAAGUCGAGCGGAGUGUUAGAGAAGCUUGCUUCUUUAACACUCAGCGGCGGACGGGUGAGUAACGCGUAGGUAACCUGCCUAUAAGACUGGGAUAACAUUCGGAAACGGAUGCUAAUACCGGAUACGCAUUUUGAUCGCAUGAUCGGAAUGGGAAAGACGGAGCAAUCUGUCACUUAUAGAUGGACCUGCGGCGCAUUAGCUAGUUGGUGAGGUAAUGGCUCACCAAGGCGACGAUGCGUAGCCGACCUGAGAGGGUGAUCGGCCACACUGGGACUGAGACACGGCCCAGACUCCUACGGGUGGCUG
rnacentral:rRNA from 1 species